GUGACAUAACAAGACCUGUCUCAAAAUAAUAAAAAGGACUGAAGGUGUAACUCCGUGUAUUGAUCCUAGCUUCAAUACCCAGUUCUCCGAAAUAAAAUAAUAGGAAAAAGAAUAAUAACUAAGAAGUAGAGAAGAAUUAUUAUCAGUAACCAGCAAACUGAAAGAAUGCGUCGAUGCUCACAAUGCAAAGAUGUUGCACUUGUUGGCUCAUUUUUUAAAGACACAAAUUUUUGUACAGAGUAGUCUCAAUCAUGUAAAAAGUACGUAUGCGCAGGAAACUCGACAGAGUUAGCAGGUGUUUCCAAACGGUGGAGUUUUUCUGUUUUUGUGGGUAUUGGAAAUUGAAUUCAGGACCUCACACUUGCCAGGCAGGCGCUGUGCCGCUGAGCUAUAUCCCCGGCCACUGAGGGUAGGAUUAUGAGUGCUUUUUCUUUACAGUUUUAGUAUUUCCUGGGUCAGAUAUUCUGCUUUACCCAUGUGUUCAUUUAUAACGAGGGGAGCAGGGAAUGCACUGAAGAAAUGAAAAGCAGCUGCAAAGUCUUUCCGUGACCUUCCAAGACAGAGGGAAUCUGUGACACACCCAGCUUCAAUAAUACCUUUUUGUCCCCCACCGCCUGUCCUUGAAUAAUGUUACUAACAAAUAAUGAGAUAGUAUGAUACAGUGGGUUUCCUAUACUUUUUUGUGAAAUUUUUCUGUUUCAGAAAUCAGAGGCUGGUCAGGGCCCCCCUUUCAUAACUGAGCCUUGUGUGGUGGCGCACGCCUGUAAUCCCAGCACUCGGGAGGCUGAAGCAGGAGGAUCAUUGCAAGUUCGAGACCAGCCUGGGCUACGCUGGCCCUAUAGUGCAGCACAAGGCAACCUACUGUGGAAGAGAGAGCACAGUGGCCCACAGCUCCUUGAGGACUUCUGUAUCCCCUGCUCCUGGGGCUGACGUCAGGCCCAGGCUAUCCUGUCAAACACCUGCACAAGUUUUCAUGAAAAGCUUUAAAAAUGACACACUCUGACUGAGUCUGUCCUGAGUGCUGGACACAGAAAAGGCCACGCCCAGGAUCGCGGGGCCUGGGGCCAUCUAUAAACCCAGGAGGAGGGCUGGGGAUUCAUCUCAGUGGCACAGCACCUGCCUGGCAAGCAUGAGGUUCCUCCUGAGCGCUGGGAUCACAGACGUGCGCCACCACGCCCGGCCUAGACUUCCAUUUGGUACCCAUCACUCGUCACUUCUUAGCUCAGAAUGGACCCAAACAGACUGCAAUAGAAGAUAAAUUGUUAAAGACUGGUGGACACUGGGCUGUAUGGGGUUAAGUUGCAUAAGAAGGGACCUCUGGCCAUAUUGGAAAAGCUCCUGUUCAUGAACUCCCUAUUCCAGAGCAAUAAGACUAUCAACCUUCGAGAUCAAACAGUUCUCUUAAUUAGCAAGCCUUGCUGCCUUUGUUCUAACUUCUUCUGAAUCCCUGAUCUGUGGAAACUCAAUAAAUAUGGGUACUCCAGAGAAAUGGGUUCUCACCUUCCUGGGCUCC